rnacentral:rRNA from 1 species
AUUGAACGCUGGCGGCAUGCUUUACACAUGCAAGUCGGACGGCAGCACAGAGAAGCUUGCUUCUUGGGUGGCGAGUGGCGAACGGGUGAGUAACAUAUCGGAACGUACCGAGCAGUGGGGGAUAACUAAUCGAAAGAUUAGCUAAUACCGCAUAUAUUCUGAGGAAGAAAGCAGGGGACCAUUUGGCCUUGCGCUGUUUGAGCGGCCGAUAUCUGAUUAGCUGGUUGGUGGGGUAAAGGCCUACCAAGGCGACGAUCAGUAGCGGGUCUGAGAGGAUGAUCCGCCACACUGGGACUGAGACACGGCCCAGACUCCUACGGGAGGCAGCAGUGGGGAAUUCUUGGACAAUGGGCGCAAGCCUGAUCCAGCCAUGCCGCGUGUCUGAAGAAGGCCUUCGGGUUGUAAAGGACUUUUGUCAGGGAAGAAAAGGAUAGGGUUAAUACCCC